rnacentral:rRNA from 1 species
CCUACGGGUGGCAGCAGUGAGGAAUAUUGGUCAAUGGGCGCGAGCCUGAACCAGCCAAGUAGCGUGAAGGAUGACGGCCCUACGGGUUGUAAACUUCUUUUAUAAAGGAAUAAAGUGAGCCACAUGUGCCUUUUUGUAUAUACUUUAUGAAUAAGGAUCGGCUAACUCCGUGCCAGCAUCCGCUGUAUUACGGGGGAUCCGAGCGUUAUCCGUCUUUAUUGGGUUGAAAGAGAGCGUAGAUGGGUUGUUAAGUCAGUUGUGAAAGUUUGCGGCUCAACUGUCAAAUUGCAAUUGAUACUGGCAGUCUUGAGUAUAGUUGAGGUAGGCGGAAUGCGUGGUGUAGCGGUGAAAUGCGUAGAUAUCAGGAAGAACUCCGAUUGCGAAGGCAGCUUACUAAACUGCAACUGACAUUGAUGCUCGAAAGUGUGGGUAUCAAACAGGAUUAGAUACCCCAGUAGUC